rnacentral:rRNA from 1 species
CCUACGGGUGGCAGCAGUAGGGAAUCUUCCACAAUGGGCGAAAGCCUGAUGGAGCACCGCCGCGUGGGUGAAGAAGGUCUUCGGAUCGUAAAACCCUGUUGUUAGAGAAGAAAGUGCGUGAGAGUAACUGUUCACGUUUCGACGGUAUCUAACCAGAAAGCCACGGCUAACUACGUGCCAGCAGCCGCGGUAAUACGUAGGUGGCAAGCGUUAUCCGGAUUUAUUGGGCUGAAAGGGAACGAAGGCGGUCUUUUAAGUAUGAUGGGAAAGCCUUCGGCUUAACCGGAGUAGUGCAUUGGAAACUGGGAUACUUGAGUGCAGAAGAGGAGAGUGGAACUCCAUGUGUAGCGGUGAAAUGCGUAGAUAUAUGGAAGAACACCAGUGGCGAACGCGGCUCUCUGGUCUGUAACUGACGCUGAGGUUCGAAAGCGUGGGUAGCAAACAGGAUUAGAUACCCCAGUAGUC